CCACGUUGAAAUCCUCCAUCGCUCCAUUCCUCGUCAUCAAAUCAUGUCGCAUAGCAUUACAUCUUGUCAUUGCUUCCUGUUUUUUUCACACUUACUCAAACGAACCGCACUAACAGAGCAAUCACACCAAGAAGACCACCUCUGUGACAGAAGCGCUUUGACCACCCCUGACCCAGCCUCUCCCCUGUGGCGGUCUUGCAGCCUUCUCUGCAGGUCAUCCUCUCCUCUGAAGACCAUCUGUGAAGCAUCUCCCUCCAUUCAUUACAACUGUCCUGGGAGGCUUGUUUUUUUUUUUUUAGAUGCUUCUCCUUGUUUUGUUUCCUCUCACCCUUGUUGGAAUGGGAUCAUGGGACACAACAUAUUGAAGGUCCAAGUCUCUUUCUUUACAGAGCUCUCAUAUGUCUUCACCUACCAGAUGCUGGCAUCUCAGAGAGAUGGAAUGACCCUGACACUAUUGUAGACUCAGACGUUAGCAAAAACCCGAUCGAUUCAGCCUGUUUUCCUGGCGUACCUGUACCAAAGCAUGGGAUUUGUAAGUCAUAAAGGGAUAUAGGAGAGGGCAUCGGAAGAGACCGAGACACAACAGCAUUGAGUAUACUUCUCUGGAAUGCCCUAGGUUAUCAGACUCAUUAAUCUACAUGUCAUGGGCUGUGGAUGAAUAAUUGUUCAUGGAAUUUAUCAGCCAAUGUGAUGCGGAGUUGCUCAUCGUCUUUCCCCUGCGCCUGCAUCCCACGCUUUGUGCUUGGCCCUUUAAUUAUUGUAUGCUUUGUCUUUGCUGUCCCUGGUCUUCAGGGGAAACAAAGGCUGAAAUAUGCUAUUCCUGCAUUUAGAAGGUCACUGUAUCCUAAGUGUGACUCUGAUGUUGAAUAGAUAAAUAAUAAUAAUAAUAAUAAAUAUAAAUUAAGAUGCACAUUUAGAUGAAAUUGCUGGAUAAGAAAACAUCUUUAUUAUUAUUUAAUUAUUUAUUUGCUUUAAUAACCUUUAUUUGCGAAGUGCAUUAUAGAGUGGUUAGAAAACAAAGUGAGAGAGAAGGAAGAUGGGAUUGGAAAGGACCACCAGCCGGCAUUUGAACUUUAGUCACCCGAAAUGCAACAGCAUUAUUUGUCGGAGUGCUGCUCAAAAGGUUAUCGGUUACCAAACUUAAUUUGGAAUACCUCUAAUAAGUUAACAACAAUGUUAAGUGUAAUAUUUAGUAAAUGACAAUUUUUGUCAAUGCAUAAAUUCACAUUUGGCAUUUAAAAUGACUGACUUUAUUUUUAAUUUUCAAGACAUUAUAAGGGAAACAAUCAAUUUAGCUAAAAGGGAAUCAUUUAAGAUUUUAAAGGGAAUUUAAACCGAAUCACUGUUCAAGGGCUGACGGCUAGCGAUUCAUUGAAUGAGCCGUAUAAAAUCAACUCUGCAAAUUAUAUUAAUAUCCAAAGUAUAGUGAAAGCACUAUUAAUUUGCAUAGUAACAAGAUCGGCGGUUUAAGACAUUAACUUGUAAGCACAAAACACAAGAUACUUCUCUUUUCAAUGCGAAUAAGGCUUUAUUAGAUAAAUCUAAGACAUAUAAACUUAUCUAACACAUAAGCACAUGCACUCAGACAUUCAUACAAGUUGCAGGAAGAUAGAACAUUAGGAAAUAAUGAGUUUGAGAGAAUGAAAAUAUGAAACCCCAAUCCAACGAUCUUGUGAUCAUGAUUACUAUCAUGGGUUUACAUGUGAUGAUCACGCUGUGCAUCUCUUUGACCAUCAAUCUGGAUUACUUGCCCUAAAUUUGACAUGCUCUUUUCCGAAUUGAAAUUAUCAGUAAUUGUUCUAAUGGUGUUAAUGUUGAAAGCUGUUCUGUGAAAGAGUUGGUUGGUUAGCUCGUUGAUUUACCAUUUCUACAGGAAAGAAACAUCCUGUUUCUUUCCUGUGGAAUUUGGCUCCUCAUGUUUCAACCAUGCUCCCGAUCGAAUCUUUAAUAUGUGUGGUUUGGGUCUGAAAUGCUAAAACACAAUAUUUAAAAAUCUGCCAAAUAUCUGUGCAGUCCAAACUGGCGAUUACUGCUACUAUACUAUUGUGCUGAAUGAUUCAUAAAUUCAUGUACCAUGAUAUUUACACGUUACACCAAGGCACUUCCAAACAUCCCUUCUUGAUGCCUUAUGGUACUUUAUUGUUAUUGUUUACAAUCGAAUUUCAAUUAUAUAGAAUAUUUUGAUGAUGGUUUAUGUAAAAAAAAAAAAGAAAAAAAAGAAUAGCUGUUCUUGAAUCUAUUAUGAGGGUUCUAAAAUUAUAAGCAAGAGACCAUUUUGGGUUCUCCUCACUGAAAAAAUGGAGCCGUAGUGCCGAUGACUUUCAGACGCAUCAUGCAAACAACUCCCCGAACAUCUGUACACGCCUCCUUGUCUUUGAUAAUUCCUCUUUGUUACCUGAUGCAUGAUUUUAGAAGAUGAAAAGAGACGAGGCAACAUCAAAACACAAACAGCAAAGUUUUUGACAAUGAAAAGGGAGGGGGAAGACAUAACAAAGAUUGCUUAGGUCUUCUGCGCAUUGCACAACCAAAAGGGAGAGAAGGAAUGAGAGAGAGAAAGAGAGAGAGAGUGAGAGAAUAAGUCAAGUUUCAUUUUUUCUUUUCUCUCAGAAGUGCGUAUAACAAAGAGAGCGAAAGUCUUUUGAGAUGGGGCAUGCUUGGAUGAGAUAACGACGACUGCCAUUUGUACCCGCAGCUGAUGUGUCAAUAAGAAAAAGAAACUGUGUUAAAAAUACAAUUUACCUGUUUUAAUGUACCACAAUUCUGGUUCUUUUUGUACACACAAUGGAUUAAAGAAAGUCAAAUAACAGCUGAUUCUUAUUUUGCCUUUAAUUCUUACUACACUUAUUCAUCUUACCCCCAGUGUCACCUGUGUCAGUUUCAAAUACUCAUAAUGCUCUGGUUGACUUCGCUCCCCCUUCUCAGGUUUU
rnacentral:lncRNA from 1 species